GAAUUCGCCCUUAGAGUUUGAUUAUGGCUCAGGAUGAACGCUGGCGGCGUGCCUAACACAUGCAAGUCGAACGAAGCAUUUACACGGAUUUCCUUCGGGGAUGAAGGGUUUAUGACUGAGUGGCGGACGGGUGAGUAACGCGUGGGCAACCUGCCCCGUACCGGGGGACAACAGCCGGAAACGGCUGCUAAUACCGUAUACGUUUUAAGGACCGCAUGGUCCGUAAAACAAAACUCCGGUGGUACGGGAUGGGCCCGCGUCUGAUUAGCUCGUUGGCGGGGUAACGGCCCACCAAGGCGACGAUCAGUAGCCGGCCUGAGAGGGCGGCCGGCCACAUUGGGACUGAGACACGGCCCAGACUCCUGCGGGAGGCAGCAGUGGGGAAUAUUGCACAAUGGGGGAAACCCUGAUGCAGCGACGCCGCGUGAGCGAGGAAGUACUUCGGUAUGUAAAGCUCUGUCAGCAGGGAAGAAAAUGACAGUACCUGACCAAGAAGCCCCGGCUAACUACGUGCCAGCAGCCGCGGUAAUACGUAGGGGGCAAGCGUUAUCCGGAUUCACUGGGCGUAAAGGGAGCGCAGGCGGCACGGCAAGUCUGAUGUGAAAACCCGGGGCUCAACCCCGGGACUGCAUUGGAAACUGCCGGGCUGGAAUGUCG
rnacentral:rRNA from 1 species